AUGCAAGUCGAGCGGAUGAGAGGAGCUUGCUCCUGGAUUCAGCGGCGGACGGGUGAGUAAUGCCUAGGAAUCUGCCUGGUAGUGGGGGACAACGUUUCGAAAGGAACGCUAAUACCGCAUACGUCCUACGGGAGAAAGCAGGGGACCUUCGGGCCUUGCGCUAUCAGAUGAGCCUAGGUCGGAUUAGCUAGUUGGUGAGGUAAUGGCUCACCAAGGCGACGAUCCGUAACUGGUCUGAGAGGAUGAUCAGUCACACUGGAACUGAGACACGGUCCAGACUCCUACGGGAGGCAGCAGUGGGGAAUAUUGGACAAUGGGCGAAAGCCUGAUCCAGCCAUGCCGCGUGUGUGAAGAAGGUCUUCGGAUUGUAAAGCACUUUAAGUUGGGAGGAAGGGUUGUAGAUUAAUACUCUGCAAUUUUGACGUUACCGACAGAAUAAGCACCGGCUAACUCUGUGCCAGCAGCCGCGGUAAUACAGAGGGUGCAAGCGUUAAUCGGAAUUACUGGGCGUAAAGCGCGCGUAGGUGGUUUGUUAAGUUGGAUGUGAAAUCCCCGGGCUCAACCUGGGAACUGCAUCCAAAACUGGCAAGCUCGAGUAUGGUAGAGGGUGGUGGAAUUUCCUGUGUAGCGGUGAAAUGCGUAGAUAUAGGAAGGAACACCAGUGGCGAAGGCGACCACCUGGACUGAUACUGACACUGAGGUGCGAAAGCGUGGGGAGCAAACAGGAUUAGAUACCCUGGUAGUCCACGCCGUAAACGAUGUCGACUAGCCGUUGGGAUC
rnacentral:rRNA from 2 species